rnacentral:rRNA from 1 species
GAUGAACGCUGGCGGCGUGCCUAAUACAUGCAAGUCGAGCGAACGGACGAGAAGCUUGCUUCUCUGAUGUUAGCGGCGGACGGGUGAGUAACACGUGGAUAACCUACCUAUAAGACUGGGAUAACUUCGGGAAACCGGAGCUACUACCGGAUAAUAUUUUGAACCGCAUGGUUCAAAAGUGAAAGACGGUCUUGCUGUCACUUAUAGAUGGAUCCGCGCUGCAUUAGCUAGUUGGUAAGGUAACGGCUUACCAAGGCAACGAUGCAUAGCCGACCUGAGAGGGUGAUCGGCCACACUGGAACUGAGACACGGUCCAGACUCCUACGGGAGGCAGCAGUAGGGAAUCUUCCGCAAUGGGCGAAAGCCUGACGGAGCAACGCCGCGUGAGUGAUGAAGGUCUUCGGAUCGUAAAACUCUGUUAUUAGGGAAGAACAUAUGUGUAAGUAACUGCGCACAUCUUGACGGUACCUAAUCAGAAAGCCACGGCUAACUACGUG